rnacentral:tRNA from 1 species
GGCCGUAGCUCAGUGGCAGAGUGCUUGCCUAGCAUGCGUGAGGCACUGGGUUCGAUCCUCAGCACCA